GUCCACGCCGUAAACGAUGAGUGCUAGACGUUGGGGGCUUAGCUCUUCAGUGUCGCAGCUAACGCAUUAAGCACUCCGCCUGGGGAGUACGGUCGCAAGAUUAAAACUCAAAGGAAUUGACGGGGCCCGCACAAGCGGUGGAGCAUGUGGUUUAAUUCGAAGCAACGCGCAGAACCUUACCAACCCUUGACAUGGGACGUAUGGACUUCAGAGAUGGAGUUCUUCAGUUCGGCUGGCGUCCACACAGGUGCUGCAUGGCUGUCGU
rnacentral:rRNA from 1 species